rnacentral:lncRNA from 1 species
GUGCAGAGAAAUUAUGCAAAAAGAGAGAAGGCGGCAAACAUCUCCUUAGUCAUCGUAGAGACAGAGCAGGCAGGGUGGCGAUGGGGGCCCGAACACAGCCCCAUACGUCAUCAGCAGACAGACUCGACCCACAGCUGCGCAAACGCAGACCCAACAACAGCAGCGCAGUCGAAGCAACAGCAGCAGCAACAGCAGCGCACAGUGGAAAGAGGUGGAAAAAGUCGAAACAUUUUAUAAAAUUAUUUCAAAUUUAUAAUUUGCUCAAAAUAAC